GACGAACGCUGGCGGCGUGCCUAAUACAUGCAAGUUGAGCGCUGAAGGUUGGUACUUGUACCAACUGGAUGAGCAGCGAACGGGUGAGUAACGCGUGGGGAAUCUGCCUUUGAGCGGGGGACAACAUUUGGAAACGAAUGCUAAUACCGCAUAAAAACUUUAAACACUAGUUUUAAGGUUGAAAGAUGCAAUUGCAUCACUCAAAGAUGAUCCCGCGUUGUAUUAGCUAGUUGGUGAGGUAAAGGCUCACCAAGGCGAUGAUACAUAGCCGACCUGAGAGGGUGAUCGGCCACAUUGGGACUGAGACACGGCCCAAACUCCUACGGGAGGCAGCAGUAGGGAAUCUUCGGCAAUGGACGAAAGGCUGACCGAGCAACGCCGCGUGAGUGAAGAAGGUUUUCGGAUCGUAAAACUCUGUUGGUAGAGAAGAACGUUGGUGAGAGUGGAAAGCUCAUCAAGUGACGGUAACUACCCAGAAAGGGACGGCUAACUACGUG
rnacentral:rRNA from 1 species